rnacentral:rRNA from 1 species
CAGUCGCCGCGGGAAUACGAAGGGGGCUAGCGUUGCUCGGAAUGACUGGGCGUAAAGGGCGCGUAGGCGGCAUAUACAGUCAGGCGUGAAAUUCCCGGGCUUAACCUGGGGGCUGCGUUUGAUACGUAUGGGCUAGAGUGGGGAAGAGGGUUGUGGAAUUCCCAGUGUAGAGGUGAAAUUCGUAGAUAUUGGGAAGAACACCGGUGGCGAAGGCGGCAACCUGGUCCUUGACUGACGCUGAGGCGCGAAAGCGUGGGGAGCAAACAGGAUUAGAUACCCCUGUAGUCCCUGUCUCUUAUAC